UUGGGUAGUUAAUGGAUGAGGAAGAGAAGGGUUGCUGUUGAAUUGAAGAGGUGAAGCUUCUCUGGUGUUGAAUUGAAAUAAGACCUAGGUUCCUGUGUUCGGGUGAUGGAUAAAGAAGAUGAGUAUGUGGUGAAAGUUUUGGACUCAGGGGAAGGAGGUUUGUGUGCUUUGGCAUCCUAAUUAAAGAUUUGGAAUCUCAGGGGAGUUUAUGGCAGUAGAAGGAAUAAGAUGGUUAUGUUUGGAUGGGUACUGCUUAUGGGUGUUAAUUGAAUGGGGUAUUCUUAAACUUUGAUUUAAGGUGAUGAUGAGUUUUUUUUUGACAGGGCAGUUGAAGGGUAAUUUUGAAUUACAGGGGUUAUGGAAUUGUUACUGAUGAAUUGAGUAGUAAUUUUUGGAUGUUGAGGUUGCUGUGUAUAUUGGUGUUGUUGGGGAAUGGAGCUUGAAGUGAUGAACAUGAAGAAGUUGAUGAUAUUGAUGAUUUGUGUAGUUGAUCUGUGCUGCAGGUGGAGUUGAGUUACUUAGUAGUGGUUCUGUGGCCAUUGUUAAGUUGCAGGGAGUUGUUGAAUUUGGAAUUGAGUUACAGUUGUAACUAGUUGGGAUAUUGUUAGUAAAUGAAACUGCAAUUGCUGGUGGCUUGUUUACGAAUAUGAGUUUGGAGAGUCGAGAUGUAUAUGCAUUACAAGGAAAAGAUGGGCCUGGUGUUUUUAUUAACAAGGGAUUCUGAAGAUGCGGAGGUUGCAGAGGUUAGUAAUUUGAGUAAUGGUUAACUUGGAGGCAGAAUUGUAAAGGUGAUUGUGUAAAAUUACAAAUAAGAAGAUUGAACUGAGUUUAGAUGAAUGAUUUAUGGAGGCUGGAAGAUGUAAGAGUUGGUAAGGUUGGAUUGUGUUCAUCAAUUGCAGAUGCAGACAUGAGCUAAUUAGAAUUAGUUGCGAGGAUUCAGAGAAUUAAUGACCUCACAAUGAGAACUGAUGUUGUUGAAUACAUUGGUUGAGUUAGAUAAUGGAUUGUGGAUUAUUGCAGGAGUAGUAAACUGAUGUUGGUAGUGAUUUCUGGGAAGUUGGAGUUGUUAUGAUUGAAGUUGAAUUGUAGUUGGAUAUGGUAUUGCUUGUGGGUUUGUGACUGCAGGUGUUGUGGACUGAGUUGGUGUAGGAGUAAUGAAAUGAAAAGUAAUUGCAGGUGUAAAUAAUACAAAUGGAUUCUAGUGUUGUAAUUGGAAGUGUUAGAAUUGCAAGGCAGAGAAAAGAUCAUUAAGAUGUAUUCAUUUGCAAUGAGAGUUAUAAAUGUAUUAUUUGAGUUUAGUUGUUC